rnacentral:rRNA from 1 species
UACGAAGGGGGCUAGCGUUGCUCGGAAUUACUGGGCGUAAAGCGCGCGUAGGCGGCUUUGCAAGUCGGGUGUGAAAUCCCCAGGCUUAACCUGGGAACUGCAUUCGAGACUGCAUUGCUAGAGUAUGGGAGAGGGAAGUGGAAUUUCCGGUGUAGCGGUGAAAUGCGUAGAUAUCAGGAGGAACACCGAUGGCGAAGGCAGUUCUCUGGGCCGUAACUGACGCUGAGGAGCGAAAGCGUGGGGAGCGAACAGG